rnacentral:rRNA from 1 species
GAUGAACGCUGGCGGCGUGCUUAACACAUGCAAGUCGAACGAAGCACCUCUCCCGAAGCUUGACCCAGCUUGCUGUAGAUUGAUUCAUUUGAGGUGACUGAGUGGCGGACGGGUGAGUAACGCGUGGGUAACCUGCCUCAUAGAGGGGGACAACAGUUGGAAACGACUGCUAAUACCGCAUAGUAAGAAGAAUUCGCAUGUUUUCUUCUUGAAAGAUUUAUCGCUAUGAGAUGGACCCGCGUCUGAUUAGCUAGUUGGUAAGGUAACGGCUUACCAAGGCGACGAUCAGUAGCCGGCUUGAGAGAGUGAACGGCCACAUUGGGACUGAGACACGGCCCAAACUCCUACGGGAGGCAGCAGUGGGGAAUAUUGCACAAUGGGGGAAACCCUGAUGCAGCGACGCCGCGUGAGUGAAGAAGUAUUUCGGUAUGUAAAGCUCUAUCAGCAGGGAAGAUAAUGACGGUACCUGACUAAGAAGCCCCGGCUAACUACGUG